CUGCUGUUUUCUUUCUCUUUUUACUUGCUGUUUUUUUGUUUUCUUUUUUUGCUUGCUUGUGUAGGUGCGACGGGGGUGGGAAUGCAAGGGCGCGGUGGUGAGCACGGUGGUGGCGAAGGAGCGGCCGGAUUUUUGAAGUUGUUCUUUCGUUUUUUUCUUCUUUUUCUUUUGCUGCUACUUUUUUGCUUUGCUUUCCUUUUUGAUUGAUUGCGGCUUUUCAGGUGGUGACGGUGACGGUGGUGGUGCGGCGGUGGUGAUGGCUUUUUACUUACUGCUGUUUUUAUUUUUUUGAGUUUUCUCUGCUUCUUUUUUUUUUUGGGGUUCCUCCCCGAAAAAUCCCCUUCUUUCUCUAAUAUUCCUCUUUUUAAAUCCAUCAAUUUUUGUUUCUUUCUCUUUGUUUUCAGGUGGCAGAGGAGGAGGGAGGCCAUGCAUUGGGGUGGCAGGCGUGGCGAGCGGGGCACGCAAGAAUGCUAGUUGGGGGCAGUCUUGUCAUGCCCAGAAGGACUAAAUUGUAACGGGUGCAAAGUUUCUGGGGCAAAAAUGCAAUUUUAGGAAAAUAUGGGGCUACAAUGUAAUUUUUAGAAAGUUUAGGGGUCAAAGUGUAAUUUUGAGAAAGUUAGAGGUUGAAAUGUAAUUUAGAAAAGUUUAGGGGUUGAAAUGUAAUUUAUAUUUUUUGUUUUGUUUUUUUUUUCAUUUUUCAAAAUUUCAUUAUGACUAUUUUAUUAAUAUUUAAAACAAAAAUUAAAACAAUUAAAAAUGAGUUAAAACAAACCCAAAAUUUAAU
rnacentral:lncRNA from 1 species